rnacentral:rRNA from 1 species
CCUACGGGCGGCUGCAGUGGGGAAUAUUGGACAAUGGGGGCAACCCUGAUCCAGCCAUGCCGCGUGUGUGAAGAAGGCCCUCGGGUUGUAAAGCACUUUCAGUGAGGAAGAACGCCUGGUGGUUAAUACCCAUCAGGAAAGACAUCACUCACAGAAGAAGCACCGGCUAAAUCCGUGCCAGCAGCCGCGGUAAUACGGAGGGUGCGAGCGUUAAUCGGAAUUACUGGGCGUAAAGCGCGCGUAGGUGGCUUGAUAAGCCGGUUGUGAAAGCCCCGGGCUCAACCUGGGAACGGCAUCCGGAACUGUCAAGCUAGAGUGCAGGAGAGGAAGGUAGAAUUCCCGGUGGAGCGGUGAAAUGCGUAGAGAUCGGGAGGAAUACCAGUGGCGAAGGCGGCCUUCUGGACUGACACUGACACUGAGGUGCGAAAGCGUGGGUAGCAAACAGGAUUAGAUACCCUUGUAGUC